rnacentral:rRNA from 1 species
AGAGAUCAUGGCUCAGAAUCAACGCUGGCGGCGUGCCUCAGACAUGCAAGUCGAACGAUUAAAGCUCUCUUCGGAGAGUGUAUAGAGUGGCGCACGGGUGAGUAACACGUAAGUAAUCUACCUUUGAGUGGGGAAUAACCCGGGGAAACCCGAGCUAAUACCGCAUAAUGCAGCGGCAUCGCAAGAUGACAGUUGUUAAAGAUUUAUCGCUUGAAGAGGAGCUUGCGGCAGAUUAGCUUGUUGGUAAGGUAACGGCUUACCAAGGCUACGAUCUGUAACCGGUCUAAGAGGACGGUCGGUCACACUGACACUGAAUAACGGGUCAGACUCCUACGGGAGGCAGCAGUCGGGAAUUUUGGGCAAUGGGCGAAAGCCUGACCCAGCAACGCCGCGUGAAGGAUGAAGUAUUUCGGUAUGUAAACUUCGAAAGAAUGGGAAGAAUCAAUGACGGUACCAUUUAUAAGGUCCGGCUAACUACGUGCCAGCAGCCGCGGUAAUACGUAGGGACCAAGCGUUGUUCAGAUUUACUGGGCGUAAAGGGCGCGUAGGCGGCGUGACAAGUCACUUGUGAAAUCUCUGAGCUUAACUCAGAACGGCCAAGUGAAACUGUUGUGCUAGAGUGCAGAAGGGGCAAUCGGAAUUCUUGGUGUAGCGGUGAAAUGCGUAGAUAUCAAGAGGAACACCUGAGGUGAAGACGGGUUGCUGGGCUGACACUGACGCUGAGGCGCGAAAGCCAGGGCAGCAAACGGGAUUAGAUACCCCGGUAGUCCUGGCCCUAAACGAUGAAUACUUGUGUCUGGAGUUAUUAGUGCUCC